GUUGCAGAGGGGAAGGAUAGAGAGGACUUGGUGAGUGCCUGGUGUCCAGCCAAGGUCUACCCACUACAUCCAGCCAUAGGAAUGCGGAAAAUCAAAGCUAAUACUCAGAACUGUACAUUUAGUGGAGGGAAGAUCAGCUGGGGAGACAUUAGGAAGCACAACCUAAGAAUUUCAAUAAAAGCUGUUGUAUAACUUAUUACAGAGGUAUUCCCUAAGAAAUUGUGACAUAUAUUCACCAAUCUUCUGGAGUUGUAGAAAGGUGAGGAAAAGUAUUUCUCCUCUUUCUCUAG